AUACGAAGGGGGCUAGCGUUGCUCGGAAUGACUGGGCGUAAAGGGCGCGUAGGCGGCACACACAGUCAGACGUGAAAUUCCUGGGCUUAACCUGGGGGCUGCGUUUGAUACAUGUGAGCUAGAGGAUGGAAGAGGCUCGUGGAAUUCCCAGUGUAGAGGUGAAAUUCGUAGAUAUUGGGAAGAACACCGGUGGCGAAGGCGGCGAGCUGGUCCAUUACUGACGCUGAGGCGCGAAAGCGUGGGGAGCAAACAGGAUUAGAUACCCUGGUAGUCCACGCUGUAAACGAUGUGCGCUGGAUGUUGGGUGACUUAGUCACUCAGUGUCGUAGCUAACGCGAUAAGCGCACCGCCUGGGGAGUACGGCCGCAAGGUUGAA
rnacentral:rRNA from 1 species